ACGCGUCCGCCGUCGUCCACCCACCGCCCUGCUGAGCCAAUGCGCGGAGGACCUCGCGCCGGCACGCGUCCCGCACCGCCUGCCCCUCGGCUUAAAGCCACCCCCACCCCGGCCGCGCUCUUCCUCUUCCUCUCGCUCUCGCUCGUGCUGUGCCAGGUCCACCCAAACCACCGAACGCCGCCGGCAAAAUCCACCGCGCCCCGCACCACGGAUUCCAAAUCGCCCGCGCACAUAACUUUAACGCAUUCCCCUCCAACUCCCCGAGCAAAUCCAAGCCCCAGCCGAGCACCACACCGCCGGGAUUUCUUGGUUUUCCAAGCCGCCCGCGCCGCCACCACCGCCUCGCCGUCGACCACCUUCCCGGGUACUCCAGCCCCAAAGAACCGCCCGGAUCGACCACUGUUCAAUUUAUUUAGUACUUGGUAAACGACUACACUGUUGAGAAAAGGGGAUGAAGGCAGAGGGAAGGAAGGAGGAGAAGAAGAAGAGAAGGGGACAAGAAGAGAGGAAGAGGAGGAGGCCGUGCCAGGCUGGGAAAGAGGAGUCGGAUUCGCCUCGUCGCCGCUCGAGGAGGAAGAGUUGUCGCCACCGUCACCAAGGGAGCCAUUUCGCGAGCCUUCACCACGCUGACAUCCCUCUUCUCCUCCGCCUCACUGUAGGCUGACGUUUGACGUUGAGAUGUGGGGGAGGGAGCUCUCACAUCGCCUACAUCGCCUAGUGUGUCUGGGUUCUGGAUACUUGAGCGAAGAAAGGAUUUGGAGCGAAGGAUCUGGUGGUUUGUGACGAUUUCCUUGAUGUGAGGUGUUGACCUUGGAGAUGAUGGUGGCUUUUUAGGGUCGGAGCCCGACUACAACUUCACCAACGAUGGAUGGGAAGAUUUGGGAUGGUCCCUCGCUCAAGUCGCCUCUGGUGAUGUUGUUCGCCACGCUACAUAUUUCCGCUGCGUAGAUAUUUUACCUUUCAUGAUUCAGUCUUGAUGGACUUGUACCAACAUGUGUCAAAGUGAUGUACUCGACAUUUAUGAUAUUGUCACUGUUGCUAUUCUAUAUUUCUAUGUUGGUAUGGAUUUGUACUAUCUGAAA